UAAGCAUAUCAAUAAGCGGAGGAAAAGAAACCAACAGGGAUUGCCCUAGUAACGGCGAGUGAAGCGGCAAAAGCUCAGAUUUGAAAUCUAUUUAUUUAAUAAAUCGAAUUGUAAUCUGUAGAAGGUUGAAUGGCUGAAUAUUCUGAUUUAAUUUUUUUGGAAUAAGAAAUCAUAGAGGGUGAGAAUCCCGUGACUAUCAGAAAAUAAGCCAAUUAAUUCACCUUUCGACGAGUCGAGUUGUUUGGGAAUGCAGCUCUAAAUGGGUGGUAAAUUUCAUCUAAAGCUAAAUACCUGCCAGAGACCGAUAGCGAACAAGUAGAGUGAUCGAAAGAUGAAAAGCACUUUGAAAAGAGAGUUAAAAAGUACGUGAAAUUGUUGAAAGGGAAGCGCUUGCCAUUAGACUUAAUAAAUAAAUUCAAUCAAUUAUUUAAUUCGAUUUAUUUUUUAUUUAUUAGGCCAGCAUCAGUUUAAUAAAAUUAAUAAAAUUAAAUGAAAUGUAGUAAUAUCUUCGGAUAUUAUGUUAUAGUCAUUUAAAUAAUUAAUUUAUAUUAGACUGAGGUCUGCCCUUAGGGAAGGAUGCUGGCAUAAUGAUGGUAAGCGACCCGUCUUGAA
rnacentral:rRNA from 1 species